rnacentral:lncRNA from 1 species
AAAACUUCUCGGUAUUGGUGAAUUUUGAUGAAUCUUCCAGGCUUCUUGGAUCUCAAAUAAUCUAACUUCACUGCAGUUACUCCACUGGACUGCUGCCUAGUAAGUCUGGAGGCCAAGAUCUAAAAUAUUGUUCUGAGACCUCCAGGAAUAUCGGCUUCCUUCCUUCUUCCCCCGUUCGAGAGAAAUGGCCUCAUUGAACUCUUCUGAGGGAUGACCUCAGUGUCUUUUUCAAAUUGGAAAGAAACAUGAGUUUUAUCCCAACUCAUGCCCGCCUCCUUAGCCAUGACAUAUAGACAAUGGACUCUCACCGAGAACUCUGCCAAGCAUACCUGAGUAGGAGCUGAUUCCUAAGUGUUUAUUCCUAAGCAAUUUAUUAGGUGGACUAGAGAGAGUAUCUUCCUCUGCCAUCAACCUGACAGCAUGAGAGGGGUGCUGUUCUCCUUAGAAACUUGAACUUGAGCAUGGACAAAGACUUUUCCUUUACUACCUUGUGGACCAGCUGAGAGCAAUUUGGAACAUUCCAACAAGACUUUACCAAAGAUUUCUGGAAAAUAAGCAGAGAGGGAAAUAAGAAUCUAGAUCAUCUGAUAUCAAGUUACAGCUCUUGCUCAUGGCCUCAAGAACUCCUGCCUUCAACCUGGGCGACAGAGUGAGACCCUGUCUCAAAAAUAAAUAAAUAGGGUCGGGCGCGGUGGCUCAGGCCUGUAAUCCCAGCAUUUUAGUAGGCCGAGGGGGGCGGAUCAUGAGGUCAGGAAUUCAAGACCAGCCUGUCCAACGUGGUGAAACCCUGUCUCUACUAAAAAUACAAAAAUUAGCUGGGCGUGGUGGUGCAUGCCUGUAGUUCCAGCAACUCAGGAGGCUGAGGCAGGAGAAUCGCUUGAACCUGGGAGGCAGAGGUUGCGGUGAGCUGAGAUUACGCCACUGCAUGAUGCCUGGGUGACAG